rnacentral:rRNA from 1 species
GACGAACGCUGGCGGCGUGCUUAACACAUGCAAGUCGAGCGGAAAGGCCCCUUGUGGGUACUCGAGCGGCGAACGGGUGAGUAACACGUGAGUAAUCUGCCCUUCACUUCAGGAUAGCUCCCGGAAACGGGGAUUAAUACUGGAUAUGACACAUUCGCGCAUGUGGGUGUGUGGAAAGGUUUUUCGGUGGGGGAUGUGCUCGCGGCCUAUCAGCUUGAUGGUGGGGUAAUGGCCUACCAUGGCUUCGACGGGUAGCCGGCCUGAGAGGGUGAACGGUCACACUGGGACUGUGACACGGCUCAGACUCCUACGGGAGGCAGCAGUGGGGAAUAUUGGACCAUGGGCGGAAGCCUGAUCCAGCAACGCCGCGUGAGGGAUGACGGCCUUCGGGUUGUAAACCUCUUUCAGCACAGACGAAGCGCAAGUGACGGUAUGUGCAGAAGAAGGACCGGCCAACUACGUGCCAGCAGCCGCGGUAAGAC